AUAUUUUUUUUCCAAAAAAAAAAAAAAAAUAUAACAUCUUCGAAAUUAAGUACAAGAAAACAUCUAGAAAAAAGAAAUAAAAAUUACCCAGACUUAUGUCUAGAGCAAUCAAAUGGAAUAUGUACAUUGAUGAAGGUCAAUUCCUUAAAUAAGAAAUAUAAAUUAAAGACAGAGGUAAAAAGAAAAAAAAAAAACUUGAUCUGUUUCUAGAGUUAGCAAGGCUCCUGAAAUUCUGCAGAUGUCUAAGUUGUCUCAACUUGAGCCAAUGUUCACCUCCACAAGCAUCCUAAAGUUAGUUGCUUGUCACUAGCUUUUCCAACCCAAUGCAAGCCAAAAUUUUGCAUGUAUGCCUUGGCACUUCAUGCAGUAGUAUCUUACAAGACUUGAAAGCACCUUCGGACUGAAUAUAUCAUCUCCACUUACCAUUUGUCUAAUUUUAUGUCCAAAUUAAACCAGCUGAACAUGAUGAUAUACACAGGAAAUGCAGCUAACUGAAAUCAAGCAAUCCUGUCUGCCAAGCAAAAUGCUAACUUGAACUGCUCCCCUAUGGUUGCAGAAGAGAUAAAUCAAAUCAUCUGUAACAGCAGUAUGUGCAUCAGAAACUGACAUAGCUAAGAGAACUGCUACACAGGAAUAUUAUCCAGGGGAUACCCAUCAAAGUCAAACUCAUUUUCAGCUGGUGCUACACCUCCCUGCUGUUGUUUUAGAAGUGCACUCAUGAGAUCUUCCUGGCCAAACUGCUCAGGGAAGAGGUUAGUCUCACAGCUUGCAUCAGGAACAAAUUCAGAUUUAACCCUCACUGAAUUAUCUGUGAAAAAAGUGUUAAUAGGUCCAACAUUCUGCGCAUUCACAUGAUCAGUUGUAUCCCCAGCUGUAAACAUGGGUUUUCCUACAGCAGAUAUAUUCCUGUUCUGUCCGGUCCUCUGGGUAGAAGAAAACCCUUGAUGAGAUAAAACUGAUGUCCCAACAUCAAGAUUGCUUUGCAGAGAGUUGUUUUGAUGAGAGUCAUUAAAGGUCAUGCCUACAUUAUGUAAUUCCCAAUCAUGUGAUUUGUGCUGAUUCAAAUCACUAAAAAUAUCAUAACUUGGCAUGAAUCCAACGGAUCCUUUUAUUUCUGAAUUAACCUCUUCUUGAAAUGUCCCUUUAGAUGUGAGCCCGGAUAUCACUGGACCACUUCCCAGAGGAAAACUAUUACCUGAUAAUUCUGCUGUGCUGUUCAAGGGGAAAUUCAACAUUGAAGAUGAAUGUGAAACUGGAUUAUAUCUGGUCCCUCUACCAUUUUCAGCUAGACAAUUUCUUGCUAAGACUCCACCAACAACUGUAUUAGAUAGAACAGGCUGUCCCAUGGAUGAUGUAAGAGUAGGAACAUGGCUGCCGGUGGAUUCAUUUAGUAUCUGACCCCUGGCCUGUGAUUGAUUCAUCUGCAUCAGCAAUGAAUCGCCCUGCCCACCCUGGCCACCAUGGGCAUUGACUUGCAUAUUCAUGCUCCCCAGAGAUUGUGCUGAAUGGUGCAAAUUUGCAAGCUGCUUUGGCUCCAUGGUGGUUGGGAUUCCAUGAAGUAAGUUCAUUGGCUUGCUACUGCUUAACUGUUGUUGUCCCUCUCCAAAUCUUAAUUUUGGAUUUUCAAAGCUGAAAAGGUUCCUUUGAUCAACAAUGGGCAUGGGCAUUCUAGAUUUUACUGCUGNCAAGCCCAGCUGCUUGAAGUGUGGCAAGGCUUUGUGCUGGAAGCUGACCAGUAGCAGCAAGGGUUUGAAGGUCAAGUCCAUUGAGCGAGGACAGUGGCCCAUAAGUUGCAUCUUGGGGACUAAUAAAACUGUUGGUCAAAUUGUUCUGGUGUUGUGAAACCCCACUCAAUCUUCUGAGAUACAAACGAUAUUUCUGGAGAUGGCUAGCAACAUUUUCUCUGGUGAGCCCAGGAACAUUCAUCAACUCUAGAAUCUUCUUAGGAACAGCCUUGUCAAUGCCUAGUUGAUUAACGGCUGCAACAAACUGUUGGUGGAGUUCAACUGACCAAACCACUCUUGGCUUCUUUAAUGUGGAUGUGUCAUCCCUUUCCUCUGCUUCUUCUUCCUCGUCUUUCCUCUUUUUCGAGUUUCUCCAAUUCCCUUCAUUGGCUGAAGAUGAGUAAUCUGCAUCCUCUGAUUGUUUCUGCUGUCUAUCUCCUUCUUCCACACUUCCUGAUUGCUCAAAGUCCUUCCACUCAUUCUUUUUCUUCCGAACCACAUGCUGCCAUAUGUUCUUCAGUGCCUCUAUGCGAACUGGUUUAAUAAGGUAAUCACAAGCACCAUGGGUGACCCCCUUCAUAACAACAUUUUUCCCAUCAUCCGCUGACAUCAUGAUAACAGGCAGAUCCAUCUCUAGCCCAAUGUGUUCAAGAAGUUUAAAUCCAUCCAUGUCUGGCAUGUGAACAUCA
rnacentral:misc_RNA from 1 species